GAUGAACGCUGGCGGCGUGCCUAAUACAUGCAAGUCGAGCGAACGGGCGAGAAGCUUGCUUCUCUGAUGUUAGCGGCGGACGGGUGAGUAACACGUGGAUAACCUACCUAUAAGACGGGGAUAACUUCGGGAAACCGGAGCUAAUACCGGAUAAUAUCUUGAACCGCAUGGUUCAAAAGUGAAAGACGGUCUUGCUGUCACUUAUAGAUGGAUCCGCGCUGCAUUAGCUAGUUGGUAAGGUAACGGCUUACCAAGGCAACGAUGCAUAGCCGACCUGAGAGGGUGAUCGGCCACACUGGAACGGAGACACGGUCAAGACUCCUACGGGAGGCAGCAGUAGGGAAUCUUCCGCAAUGGGGGAAAGCCUGCCGGAGCAACGCCGCGUGAGUGAUGAAGGUCUUCGGAUCGUAAAACUCUGUUAUUAGGGAAGAACAUAUGUGUAAGUAAAUGUGCACAUCUUGACGGUAACUAAUCAGAAAGCCACGGCUAACUACGUG
rnacentral:rRNA from 1 species